UUAUGGCCAUAUCACGCUGAAACACCGGUUCUCGUACGAUCACUGAAGUUAAGCAACGUCAAACCUGGUUAGUACCUUAGAGGGGUGACCGCUUGGAAAUACCGGGUGCUGUAAU